rnacentral:rRNA from 1 species
CCUACGGGGGGCAGCAGUGAGGAAUAUUGGUCAAUGGACGAGAGUCUGAACCAGCCAAGUAGCGUGAAGGAUGACUGUCCUAUGGGUUGUAAACUUCUUUUAUCUGGGAAUAAAGUCUUCCACGUGUGGGAGUUUGUGUGUACCAUAAGAAAAAGCAUCGGCUAACUCCGUGCCAGCAGCCGCGGUAAUACGGAGGAUCCGAGCGUUAUCCGGAUUUAUUGGGUUUAAAGGGUGCGUAGGGGGGUUGUUAAGUCAGGUGUGAAAGUUUGGGGCUCAACCGUAAGAUGGCAGUUGAAACUGGCAGUCUUGAGUACAGGAGAGGUAGGCGGAAUGCGUGGUGUAGCGGUGAAAUGCUUAGAUAUCACGAAGAACUCCGAUUGCGAAGGCAGCUCACUGG